rnacentral:rRNA from 1 species
AUUGAACGCUGGCGGCAUGCCUUACACAUGCAAGUCGAACGGCAGCACGGGUGCUUGCACCUGGUGGCGAGUGGCGAACGGGUGAGUAAUACAUCGGAACGUACCUUAUCGUGGGGGAUAACGCAGCGAAAGCUGUGCUAAUACCGCAUACGCCCUGAGGGGGAAAGCGGGGGAUCGCAAGACCUCGCGCGAUUAGAGCGGCCGAUGCCUGAUUAGCCUGUUGGUGGGGUAAAAGCCCACCAAGGCGACGAUCAGUAGCUGGUCUGAGAGGACGAUCAGCCAGACUGGGACUGAGACACGGCCCAGACUCCUACGGGAGGCAGCAGUGGGGAAUUUUGGACAAUGGGGGCAACCCUGAUCCAGCAAUGCCGCGUGAGUGAAGAAGGCCUUCGGGUUGUAAAGCUCUUUUGUCAGGGAAGAAACACCGGCUCUAACACAGUCCGGGAAUGACGGUACCUGAAGAAUAAGCCACGGCUAACUACGUGCCAGCCGCCGCAGUAA